GUUCUACUGCAGGAGUGAACAGCUGCAGCUCCCCAGAGAUUUUUGGACUGCAGCACCUGUCCUCUCUAACCAUUGUCCCUGCUGGCUGGGGGCUGUUGGGAAUUGGAAAUCUAACAACCUCAGGAGGGCUACGGAUUGGCCAGCUCUGUUCUACUGCAUGCUAUUGGGGUAUAUGUGUGCAGUUUUCCCAUUUCAGCUGCAUCUACUCAUUUACUGCAACGUGGAGUUCAGCCCCUAGCCUGAAUUACACAUUGUCCUUACACCACCUCAGCAGGCUGGCAAGUUGCUGUAAAGGUGUAGCACACCCAACUGAAAAUAUUGGGGCAUUGUUACACUACAGACUUGUAAAGGUUUUGUAGUCAUUCUCUCAUCUCAGAAAAGUUGUGUGAGAAGAGGCUAGGAUCUCUUAACUGGCCAUCUUCAGCUCCAGUACCAGAUAGCAAUACACAGGAUUAUUUGGGGAAACUCAAGACAGUUAAAAACUAGCAUAAAAUGUAUGCAAUCUAGUAGAAAAAGUGUCCCGAUUAUAAAGUCCCGAGCAAGAGUGCCAGCUUGGCCCCACAACUGUGGGUGCCAUGCAGUGUGCAUGGCCCUGGCCCUGAAAUUUGUGGGUGCCCAGCCCCUUCAUGGGGAAUUUUGUGGGUGCUCAUGGCCCCAGGGAGUUGACAUCUAUGGUCCUAAGUCAGGAAUGCACCUAAAAGGUUUCAGAGGAGAAAUCCAGGGGUAAUGACCAGAGAUGUUCUGGAGCAGAGGCAAAAAGUUAAUGUAUCCCACCAGGAAACAGAACUGAUAGUAAUAAUGGGUCUGGGUCAAGAAUUCAAGUCAAAGACAAGGAAGCCUGAACCAGAGAUUUAAGGUAACUUUUGUGCAUGCUUGGGAACAAGAGAGGGGAUAAGGGAGGUGGGCAGACGGAGUACACCCCAUACAUCCAAAGCAUAUUUAAAUCAUGCUGCCACCCACCCCCCAAAAAGGAAUCCUGGGAAAUAUAGUGCUGGGAAUGCUAGUUAUGUGGGGGGUAAACUACAGUUCCACUGUAGUUAUUCAUCCCAGAGAGCUCUCUUAUCCUACUGAGUAUACAGUGAAUAACAUAAAAAGAUGAGGAUUUUUGAAAUAGUCCCAGCCAGGCCAUCUUGGGAGCAAGUGAUUUGAGAUAAUCUCACAAUCACAAAGCACAGGAUCUAUGAAAUCUCAUGACUGUAAACUUUUAUUCCUUCUGAAUAUACAGAAAGGAAAAGUAUAAAAAGGGAGGCAGGCCAUCUGGGAAAAACCAGUAUUCUCUGAGCCUUUUUCUGGGAAACAUCACAUCAAAAAUUGGCAAUGUUUCAGCAACAGGAGAUGAGGAAAGAGGGAUUCUGAAGACUUGAAUCAUGAUGACACAUAUGCAACACAAGGGGGAAAAUAUUUUCGUACUGAUUCAUCUCUGAAAGAAAUAUCACUAUCUACAUUUCUUAUCUCAGCAAAAGUAAACAAAGAAUAUAAGUAAUUAAGCCUGGGAUGGGCUUCAGUGCCCUGAUUUUAAACAUUAAUUUAACAGGGUAUAACUGACAUCUUGUCCGUUUGUUCUUUUGCAGAACCACUUCUGUAUUUUUCACAGCUAUCCAACAGGCAGAAAUUCAAAGGACACAGCUUUCCCUAGUAUGGAGAUGCAGUGAUGGCGAGAAUGGGGGGGGGGGGGAGGCAAUGAACUCCAUGUCUUAAUUUCUGCCUCUUGUGAUGGGCACAGUGGUUUAGGGUUACAGAGAAUGGAGGCACAAGCCAUCCAAUUAAUGGCUACAACAAAGGCAAGCAAAUGGUUCAGAACUGUGCGAAUGUGUCCAAACUGUGAGAGCUGCAUUUAAUUUGCAUCUUUCACUCAUUUGUAUACAGACACACAAAGACACUUGGCAUAAUCCUACACACUUGCCAUUGUUAGACACAUACCUCAUCCUUUCUCUCCCCUGAUCACACUCUCUCCUUCCCUGGUUGGGGCAAAUCAGGUGAAGAGGCAGUGAUGUUCACUUCCAUCAUGGCACCCUGGGCACAGAGAUUUAAACCUCCCUGCCUAGCAUGCUGUGGCAAGGGAUAAAAAUGACCCAUCCUGGUUCAGAGGCAAGGGGUGAGAAGGAGUAUGACCUGAGGGAAUGUGUGUGUGUAUGCACGCAAUGGGAAUAGUGCCAGGGUGUGUGUGGAUGGAGAGACCUGCUGGGUGGGCUACAGGUCCGUCUCCCCCGCUUUCCAAAACAGCACUGGGUAGAACUUAUAUAAUCAGAAACUAAUCGCAGCAUUUUACCACUAGGGCAAUCCAGUACAAACUUCAGGCUGCACCUUUGAGAAUAUCAUCUUAAAACUUAUUUUCUCCCACCAUAGAUGCUUUUUAGAUUCUUCACAGGCUCUGAAAGACACUCCUGAAACAUAAAUAUCUGCACACGCACAGACACCCCCUCCCCCAAUAUAAGAUCGAAAUCAUACUAAUAAUUAAAUAAGCCAUUCCACUGCAGAGAAGACUCCUUCAGAGAUUACCCAAAGAGAUAAGCAAUUGUUGAUGCAGAUGAAGUACCACUGCCGGAUCCAAUGUCUCUCGGUCACAGAGUCCGUGUAUGAGAUGAAUCCGAUAAGGCAGAAUUGAUUCCACAGGCAGAGGCGAGAGCCAACAUCCUGGAGCACUGCAACGGAAAUGCUGACAUUUAUGAACUCAGGCAUUCAUAAAUAAAGCAUCUUACAGUCAUGGUGAAGGAAGGAAAGCAAGAAGGAAAGAGAAGAAAGAUAAAAUUCACAGAAUGGAAAAUCCAUUAAGGCUUGCCUGUGACAAUCCUAUAUCAGAUAGGGGAAGAGUGAAAUGUAAGACGUCCAUUAAGUCAAAGAUGCUCUCAAUUCUCUGCAUUUUUCUACUGGGCUGGAAUCUCGCUUGGAAUCAACUUAAGAG
rnacentral:lncRNA from 1 species